GUUACUGUGUCCUUUAUACCAAGUAGGGAUGUGCAUGGGAAAAAUAUUCAGUUCGGCAUUCCGAAAUUCGGGACUUCGGCACGGCACUUUGACACUUCAGAACUUCGGGUAAGUGUAGGGGUAGGGUUAGGUUAGCGGUAGGGUUAGGGUUGGUUUAGGGUUAGAGGUAGGGUUGGGUUAAGGGUAGGGUUAGGAAUAGGGUUACCCUACCCCAGCCCUUAACCCUACCAACUAAGCUGACCCCAAAACCUAACCCUACCACCCUACUCCAACCACUAACCCAACCCUUAACUCUACCCCUAAUCCUAACCUUGCCCCUAAUCCUACCCUAAUCCUAAUGCUACCCCAACCCUCUCCUGCUUUGCCACUUUUCAGAAAUCCAAAGCAGUUCGGCACUUCCAAAAUUCGGAAGCACCCGAAUGUCCGAAAUUUGUCAGAAUUUGCAUUCGGAAUGAAACGAAUUGCACAUGUCUAAUACCCAGUGAGUACAGAAUGUAUACAGGUUAAUAGUUACUGGAUCCUUUAUACCCAGUGAG